rnacentral:rRNA from 1 species
UACGUAGGUGGCAAGCGUUGUCCGGAUUUACUGGGCGUAAAGAGCGCGCAGGCGGUCGUUCAAGUCGCGUGUGAAAGCCCCCGGCUCAACUGGGGAGGGUCACGCGAUACUGAUCGACUCGAAGGCAGGAGAGGGUAGUGGAAUUCCCGGUGUAGUGGUGAAAUGCGUAGAUAUCGGGAGGAACACCAAUGGCGAAGGCAGCUCGCUGGGACGUGACUGACGCUGAGACGCGAAAGCGUGGGGAGCAAACAGGG